rnacentral:rRNA from 1 species
UGCCAGCCGCCGCGGUAAUACGGAGGGUGCAAGCGUUAUCCGGAAUCACUGGGUUUAAAGGGUGCGUAGGCGGCCCUGUAAGUCAGAGGUGAAAGCCCACAGCUUAACUGUGGAAUUGCCUUUGAUACUGCGGGGCUUGAAUUAGGUUGAGGUUAGCGGAAUGUGACAUGUAGCGGUGAAAUGCAUAGAUAUGUCAUAGAACACCAAUUGCGAAGGCAGCUGGCUAGACCUUAAUUGACGCUGAGGCACGAAAGCGUGGGGUGCGAACAGGAUUAGAUA